CAGUAGCCGCGGUAAUACGGAGGGGGCUAGCGUUGUUCGGAAUUACUGGGCGUAAAGCGCACGUAGGCGGCUUGGUAAGUUAGAGGUGAAAGCCUGGAGCUCAACCCCAGAAUUGCCUUUAAGACUGCCGAGCUAGCUGGUGAGAGAGGUAAGUGGAAUUCCGAGUGUAGAGGUGAAAUUCGUAGAUAUUCGGAAGAACACCAGUGGCGAAGGCGGCUUACUGGCUCAUACUGGACGCUGAGGCGCGAAAGCGUGGGGAGCAAACAGGAUUAGAUACCCGCGUAGUCCCUGUCUCUUAUAC
rnacentral:rRNA from 1 species